rnacentral:rRNA from 1 species
AGAGUUUGAUCCUGGCUCAGAUUGAACGCUGGCGGCAGGCCUAACACAUGCAAGUCGAACGCGAAAGUACCUUCGGGUGCGAGUAGAGUGGCGGACGGGGGAGUAACGCGUAGGAAUCUACCCAGUAGUGGGGGACAACAUGUGGAAACGCAUGCUAAUACCGCAUACGCCCUAAGGGGGAAAGCGGGGGAUCUUCGGACCUCGCGCUAUUGGAUGAGCCUGCGUAGGAUUAGCUAGUUGGUGGGGUAAAGGCCUACCAAGGCGACGAUCUGUAGCUGGUCUGAGAGGAUGAUCAGCCACACUGGAACUGAGACACGGUCCAGACUCCUACGGGAGGCAGCAGUGGGGAAUAUUGCACAAUGGGCGAAAGCCUGAUGCAGCAAUGCCGCGUGUGUGAAGAAGGCCUUAGGGUUGUAAAGCACUUUCAGUAGGGAGGAAAAGUUGAUGGUUAAUAACCAUUGACCGUGACGUUACCUACAGAAGAAGCACCGGCUAACUCCGUGCCAGCAGCCGCGGUAAUACGGAGGGUGCAAGCGUUGUUCGGAAUCACUGGGCGUAAAGGGCGCGUAGGCGGCCAAGCAAGUCAGAUGUGAAAGCCCACGGCUCAACCGUGGAAGUGCAUUUGAAACUGCUUGGCUUGAGUAUCAGAGGGGAAAGUGGAAUUCCCGGUGUAGAGGUGAAAUUCGUAGAUAUCGGGAGGAAUACCGGUGGCGAAGGCGACUUUCUGGCUGAAUACUGACGCUGAGGCGCGAAAGCGUGGGGAGCAAACAGGAUUAGAUACCCUGGUAGUCCACGCCGUAAACGAUGUCAACUAGGUGUUGGGGCGGUUAAUCGUCUCAUUGCCGGAGCUAACGCAUUAAGUUGACCGCCUGGGGAGUACGGUCGCAAGAUUAAAACUCAAAGGAAUUGACGGGGGCCCGCACAAGCGGUGGAGUAUGUGGUUUAAUUCGACGCAACGCGAAGAACCUUACCUGGUCUUGACAUCCUUGGAAUCUCUUUGAAAGAAAGUGCACUCUUUGAGAGAAUUUGGUUACAGGUGCUGCAUGGCUGUCGUCAGCUCGGGUCGUGAGAUGUUGGGUUAAGUCCCGCAACGAGCGAAACCCCUAUCUUUAGUUACCAUCAUUUAGUUGGGGACUCUAAAGAUACUGCCCCGGUCAACGGGGAGGAAGGUGGGGAUGACGUCAAGUCCUCAUGGCCUUUAUGCCCAUGGCUACACACGUGCUACAAUGGGCUGUACAAAGGGUUGCGACAUCGCAAGGUGAAGCCAAUCCCGUAAAGCAGUUCGUAGUUCGGAUUGGAGUCUGCAACUCGACUCCAUGAAGCUGGAAUCGCUAGUAAUCGUGGAUCAGCAUGCCACGGUGAAUACGUUCCCGGGCCUCGUACACACCGCCCGUCACACCAUGAGAGUUGGUUGUACCAGAAGUCGUUGGGCAAACCCUUCGGGGGGGGGCGCCUAAGGUAUGGCUGAUGAUUGGGGUGAAGUCGUAACAAGUAACC